GAUCUAAAGCACUUACAAGCUAAAGCAAGUAUUUUCAUCCAUUCAAGAGCAUUCUACCAUCAAGAUCAUCAUCUUCUUAGUUCUUAAUCAUCCUCUAGAUCAUCCCUAGCCUAGUGCUAGAAGUGGUGAUACUAUUCAGGACGACCGUACGUCAGAUCACAGUUACUUACCAUUCACGGACGCAAUUCUGAAAUUAGUGGACCAUGCAGACAUUUCAAUCAAGGAAAGC